GUUCAGAGUGGCUUUGGGAUGCAUGAUAAGACUGUUAUAAACACUGGCAGACCCUGUGUGUUGAGUUGUUUAGUUGAGAUAUCUAAGUUGAUGUUUUUAAGGCUGCUCUAUUUUUUUAGCCGAAUAACAUUAUACCAUAUGCAUUCUUCCAUGGUUUAUAAAGUAUUCUAAGCCUAUUUGCAUAACUUUUCUAGUUGCUUUAGUGUAUAACUUCAUCUUAAAUACCAGCUAAAUAACUAAUCACCAUUGAAGUUAGAUGUCAGAAUUGAGAUUGGGCAGUUCUUUGUGGCUUAAAUUGCUGAUUUUACCGAUAAUGUUAUUUGUCUGCAUAAUAAACAUACUUGUCUUGAUGUUCAAGCAGAAAAAGAUUUUGUAAAUU
rnacentral:misc_RNA from 1 species